rnacentral:rRNA from 1 species
UAGAGUUUGAUCAUGGCUCAGGAUGAACGCUAGCGGCAGGCUUAACACAUGCAAGUCGAGGGGCAUCGGGAGGGAAGCUUGCUUUCCUUGCUGGCGACCGGCGCACGGGUGAGUAACACGUAUGCAACCUGCCCUCUUCAGGGGGACAACCUUCCGAAAGGGAGGCUAAUCCCGCGUAUAUCGGUUUCGGGCAUCCGAGAUCGAGGAAAGAUUCAUCGGAAGAGGAUGGGCAUGCGGCGCAUUAGCUUGACGGCGGGGUAACGGCCCACCGUGGCGACGAUGCGUAGGGGUUCUGAGAGGAAGGUCCCCCACACUGGUACUGAGACACGGACCAGACUCCUACGGGAGGCAGCAGUGAGGAAUAUUGGUCAAUGGGCGCGAGCCUGAACCAGCCAAGUCGCGUGAGGGAUGACGGUCCUACGGAUUGUAAACCUCUUUUGCCGGGGAGCAAGCGUGCGUUCGUGAACGCGCGUCGAGAGUACCCGGAGAAAAAGCAUCGGCUAACUCCGUGCCAGCAGCCGCGGUAAUACGGAGGAUGCGAGCGUUAUCCGGAUUUAUUGGGUUUAAAGGGUGCGCAGGCGGAAGAUCAAGUCAGCGGUAAAAUUGAGAGGCUCAACCUCUUCGAGCCGUUGAAACUGGUUUUCUUGAGUGAGCGAGAAGUAUGCGGAAUGCGUGGUGUAGCGGUGAAAUGCAUAGAUAUCACGCAGAACUCCGAUUGCGAAGGCAGCAUACCGGCGCUCAACUGACGCUCAUGCACGAAAGUGUGGGUAUCGAACAGGAUUAGAUACCCUGGUAGUCCACACAGUAAACGAUGAAUACUAAUUGUUCGGGGAGAAUGAUCCCUGAGUGAUACAGCGAAAGCGUUAAGUAUUCCACCUGGGGAGUACGCCGGCAACGGUGAAACUCAAAGGAAUUGACGGGGGCCCGCACAAGCGGAGGAACAUGUGGUUUAAUUCGAUGAUACGCGAGGAACCUUACCCGGGCUCAAACGACACAGGAAUACUUUUGAAAGGAGGUAGCUCUACGGAGUCUGUGUCGAGGUGCUGCAUGGUUGUCGUCAGCUCGUGCCGUGAGGUGUCGGCUUAAGUGCCAUAACGAGCGCAACCCCCAUCGCCAGUUACCAGCAAGUCAAGUUGGGGACUCUGGCGAGACUGCCGGCGCAAGCUGUGAGGAAGGCGGGGAUGACGUCAAAUCAGCACGGCCCUUACGUCCGGGGCGACACACGUGUUACAAUGGCAGGUACAGAGAGAAGCAAUGCGGCGACGCAAAGCGGAACUUGAAAGCCUGUCUCAGUUCGGAUUGGAGUCUGCAACUCGACUCCAUGAAGCUGGAUUCGCUAGUAAUCGCGCAUCAGCCAUGGCGCGGUGAAUACGUUCCCGGGCCUUGUACACACCGCCCGUCAAGCCAUGGAAGCCGGGAGUGCCUGAAGUGUGCAACCGCAAGGAGCGCCCUAAGGUAAAACUGGUGACUGGGGCUAAGUCGUAACAAGGUAACCGUA